rnacentral:rRNA from 1 species
GUGGGGAAUCUUCCGCAAUGGACGAAAGUCUGGCGGAGCGACGCCGCGUGAGUGAAGAAGGCCUUCGGGUCGUAAAGCUCUGUCAUCAGGGACGAACGGCCGGUGGAGUGGAAAGCCACCGGAUUGACGGUACCUGAGAAGGAAGCCACGGCUAACUACGUGCCAGCAGCCGCGGUAAUACGUAGGUGGCAAGCGUUGUCCGGAAUUAUUGGGCGUAAAGCGCGCGCAGGUGGGAUCUUAAGUCCAUUUUUAAAGUUCGGAGCUCAACUCCGUGAUGGGAUGGAAACUGGGAUUCUUGAGUACCGGAGAGGAAAGCGGAAUUCCCCGUGUAGCGGUGAAAUGCGUAGAUAUGGGGAGGAACACCAGUGGCGAAGGCGGCUUUCUGGACGGUGUCUGACACUGAGGCGCGAAAGCCAGGGGAGCGAACGGGAUUAGAUACCCCAGUAGUCC